rnacentral:piRNA from 1 species
UCCGUGGGAAAGUUCAAGAAGAUUUCAGA